rnacentral:lncRNA from 1 species
AUUCAGGCGGGCUCGGAGCAAGUGUGUGUGUGAGGUUGGGGGAGCUCAGAGGUGAGGUGCCCCGCAUCUCCCAGGAUGCCCAAGAGGCAGGAGUGCAGAGAACCUCUGUCAGGGUCUCAGCCCCUUCCUACCAGCUGGUUUCCCACCACUCCCCUGGCUCCCUUAGGUAUCCCAACCCCAGGCACAGCCACCCCAGAGGAUGCUCUGCAGAGAGGCGGGGUCCGGGUCCUCCCCUCCACCCCCUUCCGUUUAACCCUCGCACCGCCGCUGUGCGCUCCUGCGCUCCUGGGCCAGCUGGACUGGGAGACCUACAACCCAGUACCUCGAGCCCACCCAGAUGGAAGGAAGGUAGUGACACCGUGGUGUCCUCAGCGUGCACUGCGCAUCCUGCCUCUCAUUCAGCCUCUAGACACCAGCCCUGCGUUCCUGGUACAAUAGGGAGCCAGGUGGCCUGGGGUCAGCAGCAGGGACCUCAUAAGUGACAGAAGGAACCCCAUCUCCUAGCCCGAGUUCCAGCUCCAACUCCCUAUCACGUCUCCUGCAGUCUAGAGUCCAAGGAAUGGCACCCUGCACCCGCAUCCCGUGGAGCGCCCUGGUCACCCCGAGGAGGAAGCCUGGUUCACAGCAGACCCCGAGCGCUCUAUCAUAUCUAGCAUACUGUGACCAACCCCCAGCCUACCUUCACAUAGUCCCCAGCGGCCUCCAGCUCUGCAGCAGUCCUGGAAGAAGAAAAAAGAGAACUUCACCUUCAGGAACCUCUGGCCUGGACCAGAAGGAAGAGUGAACUUCCACUAGGAUCCUGAAGAAGUGGAGAAGGAGGCUGCCCCACCCCUCUGCCAGGCGUGGCCUUACCCUCUGUCCUGAGCUUCUUCCUUUGGGCCUUAGGGUCUGGUCAUAAGGCCCGAGAAGAGAUUCGCAGCUCUGACACCUGCUUCCCUCUCUCUGAGGCUUGGCUUCCUCAUCUUCUGAGGGGACAUCAUGUGUGCCUGGAAGGCCAUGAUGCUCAUGUGACCGUCAGUGCCGGGUCCCCUCACCCCAGUGGGUUCCAGAUCCUGGUGCCACUCUCCUGGGGUAUUAGACCUUUCCUUACACAGACCCUGUUUUUGUUUUGCUCAGUUUUGUUAUGUUUUCAAAAUAAACGUCUAGGCUUGUCUCAAA